UACGGAGGGGGCUAGCGUUAUUCGGAAUUAUUGGGCGUAAAGAGCUCGUAGGCGGUGUGUCGCGUCGGCCGUGAAAACCUGCAGCUUAACUGUGGGCGUGCGGUCGAUACGGGCAUCACUGGAGUUCGGCAGGGGAGACUGGAAUUCCUGGUGUAGCGGUGAAAUGCGCAGAUAUCAGGAGGAACACCGGUGGCGAAGGCGGGUCUCUGGGCCGAUACUGACGCUGAGGAGCGAAAGCGUGGGGAGCGAACAGG
rnacentral:rRNA from 1 species